AACCCAAAUGGUAGUGGGUUAUCAGAACUUAUUAACAUUAGUAUCAUUAAAGUUGGUAUACGACCCCCUCUCACUGCUAAAUUUGACUGGCUUUAA
ensembl:Y_RNA Y_RNA Y RNA